rnacentral:sRNA from 1 species
CUGCAUACCAAUAACAUUUAAAACUGUU